rnacentral:rRNA from 1 species
AUGGAUUCCAGUGCCGACCUCAAGGGCAAGCGCCCUCUCUUCCAGCCAGAAGACGUGCCUGCCGCCGCCGCCGCAGCGGCGGUGCCGGAUGAGGCGGAGGCGAAGCCCUCUUCUUCUUCGGAGGAGGUGAAGGAGCCGGAGCCGGGGGCAGAGAAGCAGGAGGAGAAACCCGCCCUGGUGCUGGUGGCCGAGGACGGCGUGGAGGUGCGCAUCUCGGAGCCCGCGGCGCGGAUGUCGCAGAUGCUCCGCCACAUGAUGGAGGACGGCUGCGCUGACGGCCGCAUCCCAACCGCCAACAUCCACUCCGACAUCCUCGAGAUGGUCGUUGAGUACUGCGAGAAGCACGGGCCGUACUACGACCCCGAGGCCUCUGAGCGCGACCGGUAUCCCUUCCCGCCCUUCCCCGUCGAGCUCACCCCUACUGUCUCCUCCAUCAAGCCCGUCACCUACGUCGACCCGGACCCCCACGGUCUCAAGGACUGGGACAACGAUUUCAUCUCCCUCGACAACUCCACCCUCUUCGAGAUCAUCCUGGCCGCAAACUACCUGAACAUUGAGGAUCUGCUGGACCUGGGCACCUCGACUGUGGCUGACAAGAUGAGGGGGAAAAAGCCAGAGGAGAUCCGUGAAAUCUUUGAGAUCGAGAACGACUACACACCAGAGCAGGAGGCGGAAGUCAGGAAGGAGAACGCAUGGGCCUUUGAGGACUAA